GACGAACGCUGGCGGCGCGCCUAACACAUGCAAGUCGAACGGAGUCAAGAGGAGCUUGCUUUUCUUGACUUAGUGGCGAACGGGUGAGUAACGCGUGGGUAACCUGCCCUUGAGUGGGGGACAACAGUGGGAAACGACUGCUAAUACCGCAUAAGCCCACGGAUCUGCAUGGACCUUCGGGAAAAGGAGUUCUUCGCUCUAGGAUGGACUCGCGUCCAAUUAGCUAGCUGGUGGGGUAACGGCCCACCAAGGCGACGAUUGGUAGCCGGACUGAGAGGCUGGACGGCCACAUUGGGACUGAGACACGGCCCAGACUCCUCCGGGAGGCAGCAGUGGGGGAUAUUGCACAAUGGGGGAAACCCUGAAGCAGCGACGCCGCGUGGAGGAAGAAGGUUUUCGGAUUGUAAACUCCUGUCGUUAGGGACGAUAAUGACGGUACCUAACAAGAAAGCACCGGCUAACUACGUG
rnacentral:rRNA from 1 species